rnacentral:tRNA from 1 species
CGGAAUAGCUCAGCAGGUAGAGCACUUCACUCGUAAUGAAGGGGUCAUCGGUUCGAAUCCGACUUCCG